AGUGCAGUACUGACAAGUGUUUGUUAAGUCGUGCAAGUUAUUUAUGUGCUGAACAUGUAGCACGCACGGGGAAAGGCAAGAGGUAAGUGGUUGCAACUACAGCCCUCAGAAAUGCAGUGCCCGGGUAAUGAACCCAGAAUAUUUCACUGCAAGUCACGUGAUGUCUCUGCCGCAGAACUGCAGUUGUCACAGGUGAAAAGGGGUGACAUCUACUCGGAUCCGUUAGACCGAACUGUUUUCGGGUAAUGCCGAAUCCAACGGAGAAUGUCGGCAUGGUUAAUUCCUUCAAAAAAUAUUCAAAGCACGAUGGAUGAAGCGGAAAACGAAGACACCAUCGCCAAAGGCACUAAGGGACAGAAAAAGUUCGCAACUUUGAUUUCACACGUUAGGAAAUUUAUUGAAAUUUUGAUAAUGUCUCUUCAGCUGGAAUUUAAGACGCCAAGGAUACAAUAUCGGUAUCUGUAAUUACGUAACACGUAAAGCGACAGUAUAGCACAAACUUUUGUUUAACAACCAACUCCAUGUAUCAGACCCCUUCUAUAAAUCUGAUUAUCAGCUAGUUAUAUUUCCCGCCUUUUAUGGAACCAUCACACUCAUUACCGUAUUGACAAGAACCAGCCAUCGUUCCAUAUCCGGAGCCAGCUUAAUCCAACCCAUGUCCGUCUCAUUUCCGCAAGAUCCUCUUAGAUCUU